rnacentral:piRNA from 1 species
UGAUCUGGUCUUCUAAUGGUCAGUGUGGCCUU